AUUGAACGCUGGCGGCAGGCCUAACACAUGCAAGUCGAGCGGAGCGGCGGACGGGUGAGUAAUGCCUCGGACUGUGCCCCGUAGCGGGGGAUAACGUCCGGAAACGGGCGCUAAUACCGCAUACUAUCAGAUGAGCCUAGUUCGGAUUAGCUAGUUGGUGGGGUAAAGGCCUACCAAGGCGACGAUCCGUAACUGGUCUGAGAGGAUGAUCAUUCACACUGGAACGGAGACACGGUCCAGACUCCUACGGGAGGCAGCAGUGGGGAAUAUUGGACAAUGGGCGAAAGCCUGAUCCAGCCAUGCCGCGUGUGUGAAGAAGGUCUUCGGAUGGUAAAGCACUUUAAGUUGGGAGGCGGUACCAACAGAAUAAGCACCGGCGAACUACGUGCCAGCAGCCGCGGUAAUUC
rnacentral:rRNA from 1 species